GGUUCGAUGGUGUAGUUGGUUAUCACGUCUGUCUCACAAGCCAGCGGUUGGCUGCGCACAGGAGGUCUCCGGUUCGAGUCCGGGUCGAACCA